UUUUUGUCAGAAAAAUCUCAAUAACAUUAAAGCUAGAUAACAAUCGUUUAAAUUAGGUAAUGAAAUUUAAAGAUAACCAUCGUUACCUAGUUUGUGGAUGUCGUUUCUGAAUUCAAGCCUAGUGGAUCACGACACCGGUCGACGGUGGCGGUCUUGGCAGGGUGGGACCACGGCCCAACGAUAGGAUUCGGGCAAUGAUUUGAGAACGGUGACGGUUCAUGAGGCGGAAAGCCUGCAAAACUAGAAACAAGAUCUAUCUAUGGUGGAUGACGAUGACUCGGUGGAGAUUCCAGUUGACUUCCCCAAGUUGUCUUCUCCCAGUACUCUUGCUAAGUGUACUCCCUCCAGGUCUUAGCCGUGGAGGAAUUUCGACUGGC
rnacentral:lncRNA from 1 species